GCCGGGGUGGCGGAACUGGUAGACGCGCUGGAUUCAAAAUCCAGUGUCCUUGCGGACGUGCCGGUUCGAUUCCGGCCCUCGGUACCA
rnacentral:tRNA from 4 species